GGUCCCGUCUUUUCUCCUCAAACAGGUGAAAGUAAAAUUAAGAAAAAACGAAUGAAAUGCGUGAUCCAUGAGUCAGUCCAAGCAGAGGAAGAACCAGGUGAGUCUUUUAGGGGUUGUUUCUACAGGUGCGCCUUUUAGGGGUUGUUUCUACAGGUGAGCCUUUUAGGGGUUGAUUCUACAGGUGAGCCUUUUAGGGGUCGAUUCUACAGGUGAGCCUUUUAGGGGUCGAUUCUACAGGUGAGCCUUUUAGGGGUCGUUUC